AGUGAACGCUGGCGGUAGGCCUAACACAUGCAAGUCGAACGGCAGCACAGUAAGAGCUUGCUCUUACGGGUGGCGAGUGGCGGACGGGUGAGGAAUACAUCGGAAUCUACCUUUUCGUGGGGGAUAACGUAGGGAAACUUACGCUAAUACCGCAUACGACCUACGGGUGAAAGCAGGGGAUCUUCGGACCUUGCGCGAUUGAAUGAGCCGAUGUCGGAUUAGCUAGUUGGCGGGGUAAAGGCCCACCAAGGCGACGCUCCGUAGCUGGUCUGAGAGGAUGAUCAGCCACACUGGAACUGAGACACGGUCCAGACUCCUACGGGAGGCAGCAGUGGGGAAUAUUGGACAAUGGGCGCAAGCCUGAUCCAGCCAUACCGCGUGGGUGAAGAAGGCCUUCGGGUUGUAAAGCCCUUUUGUUGGGAAAGAAAAGCAGCAGGUUAAUACCCCGCUGUUCUGACGGUACCCAAAGAAUAAGCACCGGCUAACUUCGUG
rnacentral:rRNA from 1 species